CUAUCUACAUAAAACAAACCCAAAUUGUCAAAACCUUGAGACCGAGCUCCAAUUGAAUCUCUCGCUCAGGACGACCUGACAUGCAAAAUGCACAUCAUCGCCACUCAGGCAGCAAAAACUAAGGAAAAAGAGCGAGUCAUAGAAAGAUCCAAGGAGACAAACAAGGGGAAGCAUGAUAAAGGUCAGACUUGCUUAUCACUUAAAAAGGUACAGGAUUUGACUCAUCAUCAUUAAGCAGAGGCUACGAGCCCAGAACGAAGCGAUAAGGACGCCACGAAAUCAUACAAAG
rnacentral:lncRNA from 1 species